rnacentral:rRNA from 1 species
AAUCAACGCUGGCGGCGUGCCUAACACAUGCAAGUCGGACGCGAAAAGGGGCAACCCUGAGUAGAGUGGCGUCCGGGUGAGUAACACGUGGAUAAUCUACCUGCGGGUGGGGAAUAACUUUCCGAAAGGGGAGCUAAUACCGCAUAACACUAAGUGGUGGCAUCACCAAAUAGUCAAAGUGGGGGAUCGCAAGACCUCACGCCUGUAGUGGAGUCCGCGGCCGAUUAGCUAGUUGGUGAGGUAACAGCUCACCAAGGCGACUAUCGGUAGCCGGCCUGAGAGGAUGAUCAGCCACACUGGGACUGAGACACGGCCCAGACUCCUACGGGAGGCAGCAGUGGGAAUCUUGGACAAUGGGCGCAAGCCUGAUCCAGCCAUGCCGCGUGGGGUGAAGAAGGCC